CAUGGUGGCGCAUUCCUGUCAUCCCAGCAAUCCCGAGACUGACAUUGGAGGACUGCCGCGAGUUCGAGGCCAGCCUGGGCUUAGGAGUGAGUUUAAGGGCAACCUGAACUGCAUAGGGAAACCGAAUCUCAAAAAGACCAAGAAAAAAAGAUUUAAAAAAAGACGUUUCUGACGGCCCCACGGUGAUCUCAGUUCAAUUUGCUUCACGAUGCCUUUGUGCAAGGAAGCCUCUCGCCUCCCAAUACCAAGGAACCUGCGGGGCAGUCUACGCGCACUCUGCUAUCAAGUUUGCAUGCUGAGAGAGACCAACAACCUGUCUCCCCCUGAAGGCUCAGCUAACCGGGCCGCGGGACCCUCAGUCAGACUUGACUGAGAGAAAGGCCGGGACCUGGGCGGUUCCAGGUGCCUAGGAGCCCCUUCUUCACCUUCCCGCCGAGGUGGAAUCCUCGGCGAGGAUCGCUGGGGAGCCUGCCCGAGCAUCUCAGCAGCGGACGGGUUUCCAGCAAGCACGCGUGAAAGCCUGCGCGGCAGUUGCAGAGUUCCCAGCCGAGGGUCCUCCAACUGUGCCUUGUCUGACACGAAAAUCCUCUUUCGUCCCUUUCUUUGCUCUCAAGAAUUAUCCUCAUAUCACGGCCAGAGGCCAUCAGUUCCCCCUCGGAAUGAACCACAGCCAAGUCACCACCAACAAAAAUUGUAAGGAAACUAUUUGGGCUGCUUGAGUCGUGUGUGUUUUUAUGACAUUUAUACAUGUGACCGCGUGAAGCUUGAAAUGACCAAUGUGUCACAACUUGUUGGAGUAGGCAGAGCUGAGGGCUAUUAAUCAGAAUUAAACAACCCAGAAGCUGUUCACUCACUGGAUCUCAAGCCGCUGUCCACUAAAUUGGAAGGUAAAAGACAUGUAAUCCCAGCAGUAGGGAGGCUGAGGCAGGAGGGUCUCCUGAGAGUUCAAGGCCAGCCUGAACUACAUAAUGAGACCCUGUCAAUAAAUAAACAAGAUUUGGAGUACAUGGAAAGGUAUCCAUGCCAGGUGUGAUGGGAUACACUGGUAAUCCCAGCACUCCAGAGGCUGAGGCAACUGGAUCACUAUGAGUUUGAGACUCUGUCUCAAAACAAAACAAAAAAGUAUCUUGUAUGUUGUAUUUUUUCCUGACUUGCUCACAUAGCUGCCUAAGAUUUUUUCAGGGUUCAAGAGAAAGAGUAAACAACCAGGAAAAAAAUCUAGAAGCAGCAGGGGAGUGCACUGUGGGUCAAUCCUACCCAACUACAAAAGACAGAAAUACUCACAGAAGACCAAGUCUCAGAGAAUUCCCCAUUUCCUGGUUUACAGCUAAGAGAUCCCACAUACUUGUUUAAGAGUAGGGCAAAGUCUUGGGAACUGUGAAAGCUGUAGACACAUUUUGAAAAGUUACCCAAAUGUGUAGUUGCACUCAGAGAGGUUUGGGAUUAGCAGAGAGAAAUCGGCAGACAGAAGCCCAACACACCUGAGCGUGGUGUCCAGAUGUCCAGUGGGGAGUCUGUAGCCACACAGCAAGGAAGAGCUCUUUAAUGAUUACCUGUCAGGAUUGUAAGCUGACAAUAAGGCCUAUCAGAUUGCAUGGCUGAGUUUAAAAAAGAAGUAGAAAAUAGUUAAAGACAGUUUUCAGAUCCCUUCUCUGGUGUAUUUUCUUAAACACAGUAAGUCUGAGAGGGAAACUCACUGUGCCGAAACUCUGGCAGCCCUCCAACAAUUCAAAUGUCACUGUGACCCUGUGUAUGCAGCAGAUGAAACGUGAAGGGGAAUGCUGACCUCAAUCUGACUCAUAAAUCAACUUUAAAGGUCCUAGAGACAAACAAAAAUCAUCCGAGGAACCUGAGCCAGGCAGGUAUAUUUAUCUUGUGUUCAGUUGGACCAAAUGUCCAGGCCUUAAUUGCGCUGUUUGUAUGAUCUUAGAAUUUCUUAUGCAGCACUGAGGUUACUCUUAGGUUUAACCAGAUGUUAUCACUUGUAUGUAGAUGCCCCCACCCCCUGCAAGUCUCCUGUGGUUAUAGGUGGGGUUUCUUUAGAGGUGGCUGGAUCUAGAGUGUAUGACACUCAAUUAUUCAUGGUGCAAUGCUAGGAUCAAGGGCACUAGGAUUAAGGAUGUGAGUGCCACCCACCCUAAGUACCCUGGAUAGAAUGUAAUGGAUAGAAACAGCUGUGGCUGUUCUGGUUGGUUUGCUGUCUUCUGCCUGCCAUGUACUGUUUCUCUUCUCAAUGCCUGUCUGCCACACCACCCUGCCUUGGAGCCAGCUGAUUAUGGACUGAAACCUCUACAGACUGUGAGCUAAAGAAACCUUUCCUCCUUUAACUUUGGAUGUUGGGUAUUUUGUCUCAGCAAUGGGAAAAGCAACUAAGACACCAGGCCAUACGCUUCAGAGGGAAGAGGAUGACUGGCCCUUGCUGCAAACACAGGGCAUAAUCUAUUUCCUCCUGAAACUCCAGUCUUUAAUAUUAACACAUUCGCCAGGCGUGGUGGCUCACACCUGUAAUCCCAGCACUCGGAAGACUGAGGCAAGAGGAUCGUUGCGAGUGCGAGACCAGCCUUGGCUACAAAGUGAGCUCAAGGCCAGCCUGAAUUGCGCGGCAAGACCCUGUCUCAAAAAAAAAAAAGGACAAAAAAAAAAUAAUAUUAACACAAUCAAUCAACAACAGUUGAUAUACCCAGUCCUCAUUCGAUUUUGAACUUUGGCCAGAAUAUGGAUAGGGCAAGGAUGGGGUUUGUGGCCAAAUGAAACAACAAUAUUUCAUCAGCUGAGAUUCCUAUUUUUUGUCUAUGGGUUGUCAUUAAAAGUCCUUAACAUCAA